rnacentral:rRNA from 1 species
GACGAACGCUGACGGUGUGCUUUAGACAUGCAAGUCGAACGAGAAAGCCCUUCGGGGUUAGGUAAAGUAGCGAACGGGUGAGUAACACGUGGGCAAUCUGCCCCUCGCAGGGGGACAACCGGAGGAAACUCCGCUAAUACCCCGUAAGUUCAAAGGGAGGCAUCUCUCUUCGAAGAAAGGUAGCUUCGGCCAUCCGGCGAGGGAUGAGCCCGCGGUGCAUUAGCUAGUUGGUGGGGUAACGCCUACCAAGGCGACGAUGCAUAGCUGGUCUGAGAGGAUGAUCAGCCACACUGGGACUGAGACACGGCCCAGACUCCUACGGGAGGCAGCAGUCGGGAAUCUU